CGCCAGCACAACUCUGACAAAUAACGGCUAGCCACGCCAAGCCGUUAUUUGACAGAAGAUCGCCACAAUAGAGAUUUGGAGGCGGUUACACCUGAUAUGUCAGAAGACCACUAUAUAAGGACCCCGACCCCCAAGGGCAAGGGGAUCGCGUGAUCAUCACUCUUAGCUCCUUGAUUUCUCUGCAUCUCUCUCUCUCUCUCUCUCACACACACAGCUCCCAGUCUAAGUUACUAACUUGAUCGUCAGAGUGUUCCCGCCGGGUGAAUCUCCCGGGAUCCUUCAUCUUCUUCCUCGCAAGUGCCUCUCGUCUGACGCCAGCUAGGAGCAAAGCCACUUCCAGCUAGGAGUGACCCGAUCACGCUCCAUCACCUGUCAUGCAGAGGAUGUUCGUCAUGCUCGUGAGUACCUUUCUAAAUUGGGUGACCUUAGCAGACUCAGAUUUUUGCAAAGAUUGAAAAUGUUGAGGGUUUAACCCGUUUUGGUGAGAUCCUACAUGAAGCUGAUGGCAUUAUCCUCGUGGCAAUCUGGGCAUUGAUCUCCCACCUGAGAAGGUUUUCUUAUUUCAAAAAUCUGUUGUCUACAAGUGCAACAUGGCUGGAAAACCUGCAGUUGUUACCCGAGUUGUGGAUAGUAUGACUGAUAACCUGGGACCAACUCGUGCUGAGGCUACUGAUGUUGCAAAUGCCGUAUUGGAUGGAAGUGAUGCAAUUCUUCUAGGUGCAGAGACAUUGGAAGAUGUGCUGCAUUAUUAGAGAAUUCGAUUAUUUUUUAAGUUCUUGUACUAUUUAUAUGUCAAUUGGAUAUUG